rnacentral:rRNA from 1 species
UCAGAACGAACGCUGGCGGCAGGCUUAACACAUGCAAGUCGAAGGGAAGGAAGGAGCUUGCUCUUUCCGGAGACUGGCGCACGGGUGAGUAACGCGUAGACACCUGCCUAUAGCUGGGGGAUAACCACCGGAAACGGUGGCUAAUACCGCAUAAUGCCGCAUGGCUAAAGAUUAUAUUGGCUAUAGAUGGGUCUGCGUGCCAUUAGUUAGUUGGUAGGGUAACGGCCUACCAAGGCGAUGAUGGCUAGGGGGUCUGAGAGGAUGAUCCCCCACACUGGGACUGAGACACGGCCCAGACUCCUACGGGAGGCAGCAGUGAGGAAUCUUGCGCAAUGGAGGAAACUCUGACGCAGCCACGCCGCGUGCCGGAAGACGGCCUAUGGGUUGUAAACGGCUUUUAAUUGGGAAGAAUGGUGGGUUUCGACCUGCCUUGACGGUACCGAUUGAAUAAGCACCGGCUAACUCCGUGCCAGCAGCCGCGGUAAUACGGAGGGUGCAAGCGUUGUCCGGAAUCAUUGGGUGUAAAGGGUGCGUAGGCGGGCACUUAAGUCGGAGGUGAAAUCUUGCCGCUUAACGGUAAAAUGGCCUCCGAUACUGGGUGUCUUGAAUCUGACAGAGGUUGGUGGAAUUCGUAGUGUAGCGGUGAAAUGCAUA